GACGUAGGGCGCGAGCGUUGUCCGGAUUUAUUGGGCGUAAAGAGCUCGUAGGCGGCUUGUUGCGUCAGCUGUGAAAACCCGCAGCUCAACUGUGGGCUUGCAGCUGAUACGGGCAGGCUUGAGUUCGGUAGGGGAGACUGGAAUUCCCGGUGUAGCGGUGAAAUGCGUAGAGAUCCGGAAGAACACCGGUGGCGAAGGCGGUCUGCUGGGCCAAGACUGACGCUGAGGCGCGACAGCGUGGGGAGCAAACAGG
rnacentral:rRNA from 1 species